ensembl:snoRNA SNORA23 small nucleolar RNA, H/ACA box 23
GCUUUAAUGUGUGCAUAGUUUUCAUCUGUGUAUGAUAGCAAUAUCUGUUUGUGUUUUGCAUUCAGAUCUUGCUAUUCACACAUACAUCAAGCAGCCAGAGAGUAAACUUGGGAUCAUAGUACUGGUCUAGUGUUGUCUCUUGGGACAUACUCUCCCACUGACCAGCCUCCAAAUUCCCACACACAA